rnacentral:rRNA from 1 species
GAUGAACGCUGGCGGCGUGCCUAAUACAUGCAAGUCGAGCGAACGGACGAGAAGCUUGCUUCUCUGAUGUUAGCGGCGGACGGGCGAGUAACACGUGGAUAACCUACCUAUAAGACUGGGAUAACUUCGGGAAACCGGAGCUAAUACCGGAUAAUAUUUUGAACCGCAUGGUUCAAAAGUGAAAGACGGUCUUGCUGUCACUUAUAGAUGGAUCCGCGCUGCAUUAGCUAGUUGGUAAGGUAACGGCUUACCAAGGCAACUAUGCAUAGCCGACCUGAGAGGGUGAUCGGCCACACUGGAACUGAGACACGGUCCAGACUCCUACGGGAGGCAGCAGUAGGGAAUCUUCCGCAAUGGGCGAAAGCCUGACGGAGCAACGCCGCGUGAGUGAUGAAGGUCUUCGGAUCGUAAAACUCUGUUAUUAGGGAAGAACAUAUGUGUAAGUAACUGUGCACAUCUUGACGGUACCUAAUCAGAAAGCCACGGCUAACUACGUG